AGCGAACGCUGGCGGCAGGCCUAACACAUGCAAGUCGAACGAACCUUUCGGGGUUAGUGGCGGACGGGUGAGUAACACGUGGGAACGUGCCUUUAGGUUCGGAAUAACUCAGGGAAACUUGUGCUAAUACCGAAUGUGCCCUUCGGGGGAAAGAUUUAUCGCCUUUAGAGCGGCCCGCGUCUGUUUAGCUGGUUGGUUGAGGUAAUGGCUCACCAAGGCGACGAUCAGUAGCUGGUCUGAGAGGAUGAUCGGCCACAUUGGGACUGAGACACGGCCCAAACUCCUACGGGAAGCAGCAGUGGGGAAUCUUGCGCAAUGGGCGAAAGCCUGACGCAGCCAUGCCGCGUGAAUGAUGAAGGUCUUAGGAUUGUAAAAUUCUUUCACCGGGGACGAUAAUGACGGUACCCGGAGAAGAAGCCCCGGCUAACUUCGUG
rnacentral:rRNA from 1 species